rnacentral:rRNA from 1 species
UACGUAGGGUGCAAGCGUUGUCCGGAAUUAUUGGGCGUAAAGAGCGUGUAGGCGGUUAGGUAGGUCCGUUGUGAAAACUCGAGGCUCAACCUCGAGACGCCGAUGGAAACCAUCUGACUAGAGUCCGGAAGAGGAGAGUGGAAUUCCUGGUGUAGCGGUGAAAUGCGCAGAUAUCAGGAAGAACACCCGUGGCUAAGGCGGCUCUCUAGUACGGUACUGACGCUGAGACGCGAAAGCGUGGGGAGCGAACAGG